rnacentral:tRNA from 1 species
UGCGGCGGUGGUGGAAGUGGUAUACACGCUAGCUCGAGGUGCUAGUGCCGUAAGGCUUGCUGGUUCAAGUCCAGUCCGCCGCAAAGG